UACGUAGGGUGCGAGCGUUAAUCGGAAUUACUGGGCGUAAAGCGUGCGCAGGCGGCUUUGCAAGACAGAUGUGAAAUCCCCGGGCUCAACCUGGGAACUGCAUUUGUGACUGCAAGGCUAGAGUACGGCAGAGGGGGAUGGAAUUCCGCGUGUAGCAGUGAGAUGCGUAGAUAUGCGGAGGAACACCAAUGGCGAAGGCAAUCCCCUGGGCCUGUACUGACGCUCAUGCACGAAAGCGUGGGGAGCAAACAGG
rnacentral:rRNA from 1 species